UUUCUUCGGGGCAGGGUGAAAUUCCCAACCGACGGUGACAAGUGCAGCUUGAAGUCCGUGACCCGUUGAUUACCAUAAUCAACGGUUGAACCAGUGGAAGUCUGGUACCGACAGUAUAGUCUGGAUGGGAGAAGAA
rnacentral:ncRNA from 1 species